rnacentral:lncRNA from 1 species
GGAGUCCCGUAACUGCAUCUUGCGCACAAAGGCGGACUGGGUUCAGCAGCGAACCCCACCAGAGCACACCGAUCCCGAUGGCGCGGAAGGUGCUCUGCUAGCGGCAACGAAGAUGGAUAUUUAGUGCAAACACUGGGAGACCGACUGCCUCGAACAUUCCAAAGAGGACCUUCAGUGGGCAGAGUAGGUGGGCGAGGCUUCUGCUGCUGAAGGUCGCGGAGCCCUUCCGUUUGCCUCUCUCCCGGAUGCUUCUCCUCCUGUUUGCGCUUGCGGAAGGGGUGAAGUCAACACCCUUUUGUGUGAAAUGUGGGAUAGUUAAACCAUAUCGCAUUCUUAUCCUCGUCUGCACUUUCAGUGGUUCUGCCCUUCUGUGGUGGGCCUUCAGCCUCUCCACCUGGGUGAGGAUAGAAAUCCCAAGUGGCUCCCAAGUCCUUUUCAGCGCUCUUUUUGCAAUAUGCAGUGGUGAGAUCAAGUGUUGGAUUCCACUAUCAAAAUCAAGUAUCUGUGUGUUCCUUGCAUUACUGCUGCACUCUCUGCAUGUUUUGAAAGUAACCAACUUAUGCAAGGAUGCGAAAAUCACCUUUCUCUACCCUACUUUCAUCCUUUCAUUCAGCGCCAUACUAUUUUUCUUAUCUGGAAUCCUCUGCUUAUUCAGCUCCCAUCAUUGUUGGCUUCAGUGCGUCUUACAGCAACCAAUCCAAGUGAAACCUAUGCAAAUGUCAGUGGUCAGUGGGAACUCAGCAAUGGUCACAGAAAGGACACCGGGUAGAGAUGGCUAGCCUAACCUCAGUGGUGGUGAGAAAGCUGAUUUUAGAAGAAACAUGUCUCACCUGUAAUUCAAGAUUUCACAGCUAUACACACACUCUUAUUUAAUUACUGCAUAAGACUGGAAAGAGUUGGCUGGUUACUAAUCAUUGUUCAAGAUAUGGCUUAGGAUUCCGGGGACUUAGAUAUUCAUAAGAGAGAAAACACAGUUGGGGUGUGGGGAAGGUUGAGUGUUUGGCUCUUGGGGACUUGAAAUGAAAAAAACUUCUCUUCACCUUGAAGAUUCUUCUCUUGGCACCCAUUUCCCAACCCUCUUGCUGGUAUGCCUGGUCUCCUGGCAGUGGUUUUUUUUAGCAGUAACAAAACUCUCUCUCCACUAUAAAGCCUGAGUUUGAUAAAAACAAAUUUUUUUUCUGCUCUCUGGGAAUUUCAUGAGUGGAAUCUUUUCACUACUGUGUUAUUCGGGACUCUUUUUUUUUUUUUUUUUUUUUUGCAUGUAACAAACCUUAUCCAAACUACCUUCAACAAAAAUUGAAUUUAUUGGAUGCAGGGGUUACCUCAUAGACUCAAAGAAAGUUCUGGUAGAAUCAGGGCUACAUGAGAGAGUUGGGGAGCUGGAAUCUUGAGAUCAUUUCCUCAGGAUACUAUUUUUUUAAACUAUCCACUGAAGGUUAAUGGAAUUUCUCAAUCCUUAAAAUGGAAGCACUAUCCUAAAUUCCUCUUGCUCAUCACUUUCAAUGAAUCACCAAAGCUUGUCCUUUCCACCUCAACAAGACUUCCGUUCCCCUCCCUGAGCCCUCCUCACUGGUCAUCGUGACCAGGUCUUUGUCAUCCCUGCCCAGACUGUGUUGUCUCUGAAUGUGGCUUGUCCCCCACUGUGGCCUACUUCUGCGAAGCUGCCCAGCUCGAGCUUCCUAAAACACAGAGCUGAGAAUGUGCUCCUUAAAAGCCUAUUUUGCCUUCUUCUGGCCUUCAGGAUAAAUUCCUUAUCUUGAUAAAUAAAGUUAUUUACAAGUUGGCAUCAACC